rnacentral:lncRNA from 1 species
AGUAAAAUUGACACCGAACCGUUACCUUCUAUUUCUAGCAGCUGGAUUUUGAUCUAACGGCUUGGAUCGCUGUAGGGGAAAACGGCCGACCGGCUCGCCGGAGCAGAGCACCAGCGCGGUGGCGCCAUUGGAGCACGUCACCGGAGUUCAAGAACUCCCGCUGCCGUCCACCAAAAACAAAACCGAGUACACCGAAAUGUAGAGGAGCUUCACGCGAACGCACCUAGGGGAUCGUUUCGGCCUAUGAGUGGGCAGAGAGCUAGCGCCGCGGUGGGGGACGAGUGCGGCCUCGGCGAGAUCCGAACUUCAGCGUUCGUGGCGGCUAAGGCUCGAUUUUGUGGCGGAAACGGAAAGCAAGCGCGCGGGGUACGAUGCUUAGGACUUUAUAGGGGUCGGGGAAAGCAAAUCCUGCCUAAAUCGGGAUUGGGUUGGUUGGGGGAGAAGUCCUUCUCGGACACACGUGAGGAAGGUGAAAGGAGGGGAGGGAGUGUCGCUGACGUGCGGGGUCCACUUGGCAGUGACUACUAGAGAAAGGGGGAGAACGCGGGGUAGGCUGGGCCGCGGUUCUAGCUGGGCUGGGCGCGUGCGCUGGCUUGGGCCGAGGCCGCUUGCUGGGCCCAGACCGCGAGGAGGGAGAGGGAAAAUGAGCUGGGCCUUCGGGCCAAAGUUUCGGGAAGGAGGGAUUUUCUCUUUUCAUUUUUUUUUUGUUUUCCCUUUCUUUUAAAAACCUAUUUCAAAACAUUUUCAAAACCAAAUUUGAAACCAUUUCAAAACCAGUUUGAAUUAUCCUAAAUUUGAUUAAAUUCACACAAUACAAUAAAAUACAUGCUCCAGCAUGAAUGCACAUCCAUGUUGCAAAAUUCUAUGAUGAGUUUUAUUUUAAUAAAAAUAUUAUUUUCCUAUGUUUCAUGAGCACAAAAUACAGAUUUAAAUCAAAUCCUUCUAUUCUAAAGACUUGCAUAAUUUAGGGUGUUACACAUAGUAUGAUAUGAACAAAUGCAUAGAGUAGACCUCUCAAACACUGUAUGCUUGUUCUAAUGCUAGUUUUGCCAUUGUCCACCCAAUGGUCAAAACUCUAAAGGACUUUGCAUACUUUUGCUGCAACGUAUGGAAAGAUCCUGGAUUGCUAAUGGGACACGAUUUUCUCACAGAUGUUCAUCAGAGGAGUUGAAGACUUCAUGUAUGCAGUGAAACAAAGAUACCCAGGGCGCCAAAACAUCCCUUGCAUGUGUGCACAUUGUAUUAACCAUGUGGAGAAAUAUUGGACCAGGUGAAGGAAGACAUAUUUUUAAAUGGCAUGGCAUCCAUAUACACCACAUGUCAUUAGAGGAGCACGAUGGCAGUGUCGAUGUUCUGGCCUUGGGCCCACACGAUAGAGAAGGAAAGGGGGAAGGAGGUGAUGGAUGGGGACAGAGUGGUGACGGCAAUGUCAUUUCUAGUGGUGACAACAAUGUCAUUUCCACCUGACCCCACAUGAUGGUGAGAGGGAUGGGGGGAGCAGAACGAUGAUGGUGGUGGCCGUGCUAGUGACAAAAAUAAGGGAGUCACUAAGCUCGCCGAGGUGGGUUAAGCUGAUUGUGUCAGUCUCUAGUGGUGUCGGACGAGUGCUGGACAGUGCUCAUGG